AUUGAACGCUGGCGGCAGGCCUAACACAUGCAAGUCGAACGGCAGCGGGGGAUAGCUUGCUAUCCUGCCGGCGAGUGGCGGACGGGUGAGUAAUGCAUGGGGAGCUGCCCAGUCGAGGGGGAUAACAACUGGAAACGGUUGCUAAUACCGCAUACGCCCUAAGGGGGAAAGGUGGGGAACUUCGGUCCUACCGCGAUUGGAUGCGCCCAUGUGGGAUUAGCUAGUUGGUGAGGUAACGGCUCACCAAGGCGACGAUCUCUAGCUGGUCUGAGAGGAUGACCAGCCAAACCGGAACGGAGACACGGUCCAGACUCCUACGGGAGGCAGCAGUGGGGAAUAUUGCACAAUGGGGGAAACCCUGAUGCAGCCAUGCCGCGUGUGUGAAGAAGGCCUUCGGGUUGUAAAGCACUUUCAGUCAGGAGGAAGGGGUGAUGGCUAAUAUCCAUCAUCAUUGACGUUACUGACAGAAGAAACACCGGCUAACUCCGUGCCAGCCGCCGCAGUAA
rnacentral:rRNA from 1 species